rnacentral:lncRNA from 9 species
GCCGUCACAGCUUCUCCCAUCGUGGCCUUCAGAGCCGGGGAGCAUCCUCUGUGGCAGCAUCAGCCUUCAGCUCUAGACCACGAGCUCUCAGAGGAAAGGAAGUCUCCCUCGGUAGCACCGUCACUCCUGCUGCAGAGCAAGCACUUCACUGGCUGGAUGAAUGAAUGAGCAGAAACCAAAGGAGACAGAAUGCUUUGUACACAGCAAACGAACAUCCAUGACUAUUCUCGUUACGUCAGCCACUGCCGGGGCCUUGCCCAGGACAGAGCCUGCCCCCUGCACCAUCUCUGGAAGCGAGGUCCAGACAGCUGGAGGGAGCCCACAGCCGCAGCCUGGCCCCCAGGAGGCAGAGACUCAGGGCGGUUUGGUGUGCAGAGGGUCACGUGGGUCACCCGUGGAACCAGCCUGUGGAGGGGAAGGGAGUGGGACUGGCAGAGGGAGUAGAUGGGCUGUCAUGCUGGUGGCCUGAGGACAGCCUUGCGGUCCCCGCAGGGAGGCCUGGGAUAGGAUGGUUCCGGGUGGUUCUGACUUGGGCCAAGAUGGCCUGGCCCUCCUCCCCUGCACUGAUCAGACUUCGGACGUGGGUCACCCCAGGAAGGAGCAUGACCUUGGGCAAGGCUGCCCUUCAAUCCCUAAAGAUCAAAGAAGUAGAAAUGCAGCCCAAGGAAUGGGCAGAUCCCUUGCUUCCCUCAGAAGUCUCGAGAACAAACUGUGGACAAGAGAAGCGUCAAAACAAAGAUCACGGGAGUUGCUGUCAUGGUACAGUGAGAACAAAUCUGACUGGGAAUCAUGAGGUUGCGGGUUUGAUCCCUGGCCUCACUCAGUGGGUUAAGGAUCCGGCAUUGCCGUGAGCUGUGGUGCAGGUUGCAGACGAGGCUCUGAUCUGGCGUUGCUGUGGCUGUGAUGUAGGCCGGCAGCUGUAGCUCCAAUUUGACCCCUAGCCUGGGAACCUCCAUAUGCCGCAGGUGUGGCCCCCCAAAAAAUAAAGCCAAAAAAAAGAGAGAAAGAUCACGGGAGUCAAUCAGCCUGCACACAAGGAGCUGCACCCAGUGGGACGACAACGCUGCCCCCCUCAAUCUAAACGAUAACUGAGAUUACUUUUCUUUUUCCGUUUAAAGACUUUCAUGGUCAAACAGAAUCAUCAGAGGUGGUUUCUGUGGGACACUGAGUCACUGUCUCCCCAGAUUACCAGCCUUCUGGUUAAAAGCAACUUUCCUUUCUACCGACAUUUGUUUCUCUUGUAUUGAUUUUUUUUUAAAUUAUUUUUUCCCCUUUUUCCCUUUCCUUUUCCUUUUUACAGCCACACCUGUGGCAUAUGGAGGUUCC